AGAAAAAGAAAACACAGCAGAAAAGCAGAAGGAAACACCUGCGUCGGCGGCCGCCUCCCUCCCUACUCCGGUUUCGCUGGUUGAUCGAUUCGUGGUGGUUAGGUUGGAGCGAGCGAGCUGGUUCGCGAUGUCGGGGCGCAAGGAGACGGUGCUGGACCUGGCCAAGUUCGUCGACAAGGGCGUGCAGGUCAAGCUCACCGGCGGCAGACAAG